rnacentral:rRNA from 1 species
AACGAACGCUGGCGGCACGCUUAACACAUAGCAAGUCGAACGGUAACAGGGACUUCGGUCCGCGUGACGAGUGGCGAACGGGUGAGUAACACGUGGAGUACCUACCCUAGGGUACGGGACAACGAGUUUAGAAAUGACUGCUAAUACCGUAUACGUCCUACGGGAGAAAGAUUUAUUGCCCUUGGAGGGGUCCGCGUCGGAUUAGCUAGUUGGUGGGGUAAAGGCCUACCAAGGCGACGAUCCGUAGCUGUUCUUAGAGGAAGUAUCAGCCACACUGGGACUGAGACACGGCCCAGACUCCUACGGGAGGCAGCAGUGGGGAAUAUUGCGCAAUAGGGGGCAACCCUGAACGCAGCGAUGCCGCGUGAGUGAAGAAGGCCUUCGGGUUGUAAAGCUCUUUCAGUAGGGAAGAUUGUGACGGUACCUACAGAAGAAGCUCCGGCUAACUCCGUGCCAGCAGCCGCGGUAAU